rnacentral:rRNA from 1 species
UACGUAGGGGGCAAGCGUUGUCCGGAAUUAUUGGGCGUAAAGAGCGUGUAGGCGGUCCGGUAAGUCUGAUGUGAAAGCCCACGGCUCAACCGUGGAGGGUCAUUGGAAACUGGGAGACUUGAGUGCAGAAGAGAAGAGUGGAAUUCCACGUGUAGCGGUGAAAUGCGUAGAGAUGUGGAGGAACACCAGUGGCGAAGGCGACUCUUUGGUCUGUAACUGACGCUGAGGCGCGAAAGCGUGGGGAGCAAACAGG